AUGUAGUACUUAUAUUGUAAUUAGGCAAAUGUAUAUUAAAUUACACACACAUAUUUUACAUUUAUGUGAUAAAAAAACAUUACGUACGUGUGUGCAAUUUAAUGUUAUAAUAUACGAAUAACAUGUUAUUAUGAAAAAAAUUAUACAUAAUUAAAGACUGUAUAAUAGUCAGUAAAAGAGAACAUUGAUUAACACUAAUCAUCAGCUCUUUGUGUACAGCACAGCAGGAUGAAGGUGAAUGUCAUCUUCCAGGCAAGAUAAAAGUGUUUAAGGAAAGACCAACUGCAGCAGUGCCUAACUCGGAAAAAGAGCCAGCGUCUGUGAAACUUGGUUCUUUGGCCUUGCAGCAUCUGCCUCUCAUCCUCCAGAAGUUGAGGAGUGUGAAGAAUUGGGGAGGAUGAUGCUACCCACAAAUUCAUCUAAAAGCCCAACUGAAUUCAGAAGUUGUUGGAAUCCCAGUGGUCAAAGGUAGGCAUAAACCACCAGCAACUCUCUCAAAACCAGACAGGCCUGAUGAAUACAGUGCUACUUCAUCUCCACGGCCAGGUCGGUAUAUGGACAUGUACGCGUGCCGACUCGACUGUAAAGAUAUGCCUGUUCCUGAUCAGUGUUAUUGUUUUUCACCAAUUCCCUUUAAUCCAGUGAGGGUUCCUUUGCCAGUACCUCCAGAGUUGUUUAAUUAUCUACAAGCAAGACCACAUCUCCAUUAACACCAGUGCAUGAAACCGUUUUCUGUCAGUUGACCUCUGCACAGUCUACAGACUCUACUUCUCCCUGCAGCUGCUGUCCAGUCUUUCUCAGGACUCCCUGCAGCCUCUUCUGGGUACCCCUCAACUCAAAGUGACUGCCCUCAUGUCUCCUGUUUCUGAAUGUAUGCAUUGUAAUUAUUGUAACAUAAAAAUAUAACUCUGUAUUUUGAUUGUUAUGGAUAUCUGUUUAAUGCAGAAACCACUGUGGUAGUUUAUUAAUUUUGGCACAAUCCUAUUUAUAACUGUACUGUAUACAUUCAC